UACGUAGGGGGCAAGCGUUGUCCGGAAUCAUUGGGCGUAAAGAGCGCGUAGGCGGUCCGGUAAGUCCGCUCUGAAAGUCCGGGGCUCAACCCCGGGAGGCGGGCGGAUACUGUCGGGCUAGAGUCCGGAAGAGGCGAGUGGAAUUCCUGGUGUAGCGGUGAAAUGCGCAGAUAUCAGGAGGAACACCAAUGGCGAAGGCAGCUUACUGGGCCGAUACUGACGCUGAGGAGCGAAAGCGUGGGGAGCGAACAGG
rnacentral:rRNA from 1 species